AAGGCUCAGGGAACGUACUUCUCUAUUAACAGAAAAGAAGUGGGAAAUUAUUCUGAGAAUCAAUCUAGAGCUAUGAUGGAAAGACUAAGCUUACCCUGAGUUUGUCCUGACCUACCUAGAGGAGCUAAAUGAAAGAGAGGAGGUGACCCAGACAGAAAACCACAUUCACCAUGGGGCCUGGGCUGCAGCCCAUCAGGAGAUAGACAGCAGCUCAGCAGAAGAGGUCACAGCAUUAAGCCAGAGGCAGGUC